CACCGGCGGCUCGAGUGGUAACCGUUAUUAUUGGGUCUAAAGGGUCUGUAGCCGGCCGGAUAAGUCUCUUGGGAAAUCUGGCAGCUCAACUGUCAGGCUUUCAGGAGAUACUGUCUGGCUCGAGGCCGGGAGAGGUGAGAGGUACUUCAGGGGUAGGGGUGAAAUCUUGUAAUCCUUGAAGGACCACCAGUGGCGAAGGCGUCUCACCAGAACGGACCUGACGGCAAGGGACGAAAGCUAGGGGCACGAA
rnacentral:rRNA from 1 species